UACGUAGGGUGCGAGCGUUGUCCGGAAUUAUUGGGCGUAAAGAGCUCGUAGGCGGUUUGUCGCGUCGGCCGUGAAAACUGGAGGCUUAACUUCCAGCUUGCGGUCGAUACGGGCAGACUUGAGUUCGGUAGGGGAGUCUGGAAUUCCUGGUGUAGCGGUGAAAUGCGCAGAUAUCAGGAGGAACACCGGUGGCGAAGGCGGGACUCUGGGCCGAUACUGACGCUGAGGAGCGAAAGCGUGGGGAGCGAACAGG
rnacentral:rRNA from 1 species